UACGGGGGGGGCAAGCGUUGUUCGGAAUUACUGGGCGUAAAGGGUUUGUAGGUGGCUUGUUAAGUCAGACGUGAAAUCCCUCAGCUUAACUGGGGAACUGCGUCCGAUACUGGUUGGCUUGAGUUUGGGAGAGGGAUGCGGAAUUCCAGGUGUAGCGGUGAAAUGCGUAGAUAUCUGGAGGAACACCGGUGGCGAAGGCGGCAUCCUGGACCAAUACUGACGCUGAGGAGCGAAAGCCAGGGGAGCAAACGGG
rnacentral:rRNA from 1 species